rnacentral:lncRNA from 1 species
GAAAACUUGGUUUUAAUGAGGAAGUCACAAUGGCGGUCCCACAGCCUGCUCACAACAUCGGCAGCUCAGACGCAGCUGGUGCUGGUUAAGUCCCAGAGCCCAUGAGGUGAAGGCACUGCUGUUACCAAACACACCGCCCUGCACCCCUUCACACCUGCAUGAGCCUACUGUACUUUUUGAAAUUGAGUAAUUUUCAAGACUUUAGUCUGCUUGAAUAUGUCACAGGAGUCAAUACGGUGACGUGUCUCAUGUGUUUUGAAGACUGUCUGAUGAAUUCCAGAAUUGAAGAACAUUGUGUAGAUACCAAGGAAAAUAAUUCUUGUGAUUUUGGUGACCAGAAGGAAAGCAGGAAGCAUGGAUUUGUACUAAAAUCAGAAGUUUAUGAGUGGCAGUCAUACAGCAGACAUAUCCAGAGUGUUCAGCGUUUUGACUCUGAUGUGGUGGGAUCCAAGCAUUGUAACAGAACUGGAACCGUUCUUUUGGAUGUUGGAGAAGAUGAACUUGCCAUAUGCCAGAGCGCUGCAAUGCAAUGGCUUUCCCAAUUCUGUGAUAAGGGUUGCCCUCUGUCCUUGGCAGUGCUAAGGUGGUACUCAAGAACUUUCUGA